rnacentral:rRNA from 1 species
AGUGAACGCUGGCGGUAGGCCUAACACAUGCAAGUCGAACGGCAGCACAGUAAGAGCUUGCUCUUACGGGUGGCGAGUGGCGGACGGGUGAGGAAUACAUCGGAAUCUACUUUUUCGUGGGGGAUAACGUAGGGAAACUUACGCUACUACCGCAUACGACCUACGGGUGAAAGCAGGGGAUCUUCGGACCUUGCGCGAUUGAAUGAGCCGAUGUCGGAUUAGCUAGUUGGCGGGGUAAAGGCCCACCAAGGCGACGAUCCGUAGCUGGUCUGAGAGGAUGAUCAGCCACACUGGAACUGGGACACGGUCCAGACUCCUACGGGAGGCAGCAGUGGGGAAUAUUGGACAAUGGGCGCAAGCCUGAUCCAGCCAUACCGCGUGGGUGAAGAAGGCCUUCGGGUUGUAAAGCCCUUUUGUUGGGAAAGAAAAGCAGCAGGUUAAUACCCCGCUGUUCUGACGGUACCCAAAGAAUAAGCACCGGCUAACUUCGUG